rnacentral:rRNA from 1 species
UUUAAAUUGAGAGUUUGAUCCUGGCUCAGGAUGAACGCUGGCGGCGUGCUUAACACAUGCAAGUCGAGCGAUGAAGUUUCCUUCGGGAAACGGAUUAGCGGCGGACGGGUGAGUAACACGUGGGCAACCUGCCUCAUAGAGUGGAAUAGCCUUCCGAAAGGAAGAUUAAUACCGCAUAA